rnacentral:rRNA from 1 species
UGGGGAAUUUUGGACAAUGGGCGAAAGCCUGAUCCAGCAAUGCCGCGUGUGUGAAGAAGGCCUUCGGGUUGUAAAGCACUUUUGUCCGGAAAGAAAUCCUCUGGGUUAAUACCUCGGGGGGAUGACGGUACCGGAAGAAUAAGCACCGGCUAACUACGUGCCAGCAGCCGCGGUAAUACGUAGGGUGCAAGCGUUAAUCGGAAUUACUGGGCGUAAAGCGUGCGCAGGCGGUUUUGUAAGACGGAUGUGAAAUCCCCGGGCUUAACCUGGGAACUGCAUUCGUGACUGCAAGGCUAGAGUAUGGCAGAGGGGGGUAGAAUUCCACGUGUAGCAGUGAAAUGCGUAGAGAUGUGGAGGAAUACCGAUGGCGAAGGCAGCCCCCUGGGCCAAAUACUGACGCUCAUGCACGAAAGCGUGGGGAGCAAACAGGAUUAGAUACCCUGGUAGUCCACGCCCUAAAACGAUGUCAACUAGUUGUUGGGGAUUCAUUUCCUUAGUAACGUAGCUAACGCGUGAAGUUGACCGCCUGGGGGAGUACGGUCG